AUAAAAAUAAACUGCAUUUGGACCCCUUUCAAGGGGAUGUAGUGGAGCUCUACCCAAUUUUGCACAAAAAAAAAAACGAAUGAAAAAUGAUUUAUGAAAAUACGCAGAAGAAAUCGGGUAUGGGAGGUCGCAUGAAAAAUUACGUGUGAUAUUUUUCUUUACACGUUUUUAACAUUCGCUUAUUUAUUGUGUACUCAUUGAGCACCAAAUUACAAAUACACAUUUAUUCGUUUUACAUUUUUCUUGGCCAAAAAAGUGCUGGCAUUGGCAUUGUGAUUUGGUUAAUUUUUUUUAUGUUGUAUUUUACGGAACUGUUAUGCCUUCCCGAAAAUUCGUUAGUAACCUCAUGCUUUAGGCCACCUGAUCCGCAUCGAGUUGCCUUAAAAAUGAUGGUCGUUUUGUUAUAAAUGCAAUUAAAUGUAUAUUGAAAUUUAAAUAGUUGUUAUAUUCAGUGCUUUCGUAGAACUUAAAUUUUAUUGCUUUUGCAGCGCUUAUGGUUAGAAAUGGUUUAUUGAUUACAUGAUGUAUGCUGUGCUUCCUCUUCUGCGUUUUACUUCCUAUUUUAGUAGAUACAAAUACGUAUUUAUUCACAUUGCUCCACUUGUGGGUGCAUGCCACCAGAUUAUAUUUGUUUUGUCCAAGACUCGUUUUAUAUGCAGUUUGAUCAUAAUGGUUUACAACAAUAACAAGUUUGACUGAUAUAUCAGUCUUGUUUACUCGAUGAAAUCUUCUAAUUGUACAAUUGGCUUUAUGCAUGCAAGGUGAAAUUUCACAACCAAGCUGCUUAUUAAUGUAUUAAUUAACUUGCCUCAAGUCCCAUAUAACGUGUACGAAUGGGUACAAAUGCGCCAGGUCUGUAAGUAUUCCAUGCGGUGUUGCUAGUGGUGGCGGAAGACGAGAAAGACAUCCUCUAAGUGGAGGAGGCUUAGAGUUGUUGGGCGCUUUAAUGUCCUUAGCACAAGGAAUAAUAAGGGAGGGACUGGCCUGUAUGAACGGGGCUUAGUCAACCACUGCGCCUAUCAAGAAGAAUUGUAGGUAUGUUAACCAUAUAACAAAGUUUUUGUUUUUAUUUUCUAAUAAACAAUUGAAAUUUGCUUCAAACUUAGAAACAUUUAUUAUUUUCCUAAAAUUCGGCGGCUGGAACCAUACGUUGGGGAAAUUUCUCGUCAGCGUUGGCAAAUUGUAAAUAACUACUAAUGGAGAAUCAAAUUUACAGUGGAAGAAGGAUAAAAAAAGUCUGAUGCCUUUCUGUUGCACGCAAUUUGAAUAAUUUGCGCUAGUUCUUUUCUCUCUUAAAUGCAAAACCUGCUAAUACCCACAAAUUCGAAUCUUUUCAUUUAAUGGUGAGAAUUAGGACGAAUUUUUAAGUCGCAAAAAACUGCAUUAGGGUUUACAAAGUUUUCAUGCGAGUGUGGAGUACUUUUGCUUUUGUAAUUAGGCAUGACAUGCCGGCAAUAUGUCCAAUGUUCGAGCCUGCUACGGAAUUUAGAUAUCAACCAUUUUCACCACAAGCGGUAAUCUCGCCAAUCAAUAAACGUCUCGUAAAAACAUUUGCUGCAAACACUAAACACUUUUCAAUGCUGUAUUCGCCAUAUAACCAGUUUUAAAAAUCUAAAAUACGUUUUUAGCCUGAAGUGGAAUAAAAUUAUUUAUAUGGGAAUAAUUAUUUUCUGAAAAUCGGAAUUUUAAAUAUUUUUCCUUUUUUCAAUUUUUUGCACAGCUGGUAGUAUUAAUCAUCAGCACUAGCAAUACUCAAACGUAAAAAACAGCCGUUGUAGUAAAUAUCCAACAAUAUGUUCGUUAGAUAGAGAGAAUUUUAACAACUCGUUUAUGUCAAACAUUUAAAAAUGUUGGAUAGUUGCAAAACAAACCUAAGAAACUGAAAUUAUAGUCAACGCAUAUGUGUUACAUACAUAUGUGCAUGUAUAUGUACUAUAUGUAUAUGAACACUUGUGCAUAUGUGUAUAUUUAUAUGACUGACAACCAAUGACCACAUAAUAUGCCGAUUAUUUCAUCAGCUUCUCUGAGCACUUCAAGAGACGUCUAGAUUGGCUUCCCUGUCCGUUUGUUAGUCACCAAGUCGUUUCAAGUUUGGCUGCUCAUUUGCCACUUUUCAAAAGAUUGCGACUUCUAUGCGCUUGCCAAAAUUCGCCAAUUAAAUGUUUGCUAUUCACUUCUCAUUUAUCUGCGUGUAAGGAGCAAAUAUUUGUGCUGCCCCUUCCGUACGCUUUAUCCAUGCAAUUAUAAUAAUGCAAUUUUGUUUAUAUGAUCUUAUACUUCGUGUUAAUGUACGAAUAUAUUUUUGUAUAAUAAAUACAUAUUUACAUAUGUGCAUAUGUAGAUUUAACCUUUUAUGCGUGCUAUAUUUGUUAUUUUUAUGAAUUGUGAAAUUAUUCGCAUUCUCAUUUGUUUUUACUUGCAUUUCCGUAGAAAUUUUGUAAAAAGAAAGAGUGCAGUUGAUGACUAGUGAUUGCAAUUUUUUGUUUACAUUGACAAAGAAAAUACAUAUUGCUUUUUCUUUGGGUUUAACGUGCAUAUGUACAGCGAUGCUAUUCAUAAUUUGUAUGUGUUGAUAUCAGAGAAAAUGAAGCUUAUACAAAAUUUUUGAAAUAUCAGCAUUUUAAAAAGUUAAAAAUAUGUAGUUCAUAAAACCUGAUUCUAUUUAUUUUGAAAUAUUUAACUUUUUGCCAUUGUUUCAAUAAACUCAAAUAAAUGUUUACUUAAAUAACUAGGAAACUUAGGCAAACGUGAUACAUUUGAAAAUGUACGAUCAACUUUUUGCCAUUUGUUGCAUGCGGUAUCGUUACUAGCUACUGCCCAGAUGGAAGAUUGCUACGACAGUCGGUUCUACGUUACCGAAACGACCCGGAUUUAUAUCCGGCCAAGGACUGUCACUCCAGCAGCAUUCAGCGUGUUUAAAUAUGGGGAAUGUUUAUGCUGCUACAACAACAACAACAACAACAACGUAAGAUUGACAGAUGCAUAGCCAUAGUCAAGUUAACCCUUUCGCAUCGCCGCUCAAAAUGCGCGAUGUACUCAAAAUUCCUUUCGACGGCAAGACUUUUACUGUUUGUUCUAAUGGCAAAGAAUGUUACAAGACUACUAAAAUUAUUUAUUUUCCUCAAACUUUAACCAAAAAUAUUUAUUCCUUUCUUGGUAAUAAGAGAGAGUUUUUGUUCCCGUGGACUAUUCGGCUCUGGGUAACAAGAUAGAGUUUUUGUACGCGGAUUAUUUCCUCAAAUGAUGCAAAAGGGCUAAAGUCGGCUCAAAAGCUAGAACUCAAUGCCUAUCGCUACAAGGUCUGUCGGCUGAAUAAAGCGGGGGGUUAUACGCAGUUAUGAAGCAAAUAAAAGACGGGUUGUCAAGGAUUUAUCCUGAAGAAACUUCAGAAUAUUUUAAUUUGCAAAUUUUUGGCGGUUAUAAAAGCAUCCUUCAAGAACGUAACAAAAUUUUUUAUUUAUGAAAAUGUUGAUUAUAGAGCGCGCUGCAGGCGAUUUCUGGAACCUCCUUUAAAAAAAGACGAUUUACGGUGUACAUCGUAACUCAGGAUUGGAUUAUCUGAAAUCAAAAAACCAAACAAAUGUUGUUAAUAUAUUAGAUUAUCUAGUAAUUAAUCGUUCGGCUAAUCAAAAUAGUGAAUUUUCACAAAAUGGCAACUUUUAAAAGAAAUGAUUUCGAUUUUUACGUUAAAAUUUGGUCGUAAAUUGUUUAUAAAGUGGAAAAUAAGUAUCAGAUUUACAAAAGGAACGAUUAAUUACUAGAAAAUGUAUCUUUAAAGAUUGAGUUAAAACGGUUGACCGAUCAAACAAGCCGUUUUCAAGAUAUCGUGUACACCGACUUGAAAAAUGCCGUUUUGAAAAAAACACGUUUAAAGUUUCAAUACCUACCUUAAAACGUGCCGAGGCAUCUCUACAUAUUUAGGUAUAACUCCGAAAGUAUUGCUUAGAUCUACUUCACAUUUCGUGCGUAUACUUUUGAAUAUAUGUACAUUACAAAAAUGCAAUAAAAAAAUCGAUUUUUUUGAAAGUCAUAACUGCGUAUAACCCCUUAACUUCUUGCGCUGGAAGACGUGCAAUGCAUGUCGACUUGUCUGCUCUAGACUGGCAAUGACGGGGAAUGCAUGUUUGUUGAAUUGACUGUAAAAAGCAUGCUGUUUAUUUCGAAAGCAAUUCCAAAUUCUAAAUUCUAUAAAAAAUAUUUCAUUUUUAUUUCUACAAAAUGUUAAUAUUCAUGAAUACCCAACAUGCGAAAGGACUUCUUUAGAUAACACACCCUUCAUUGCCUUUGCAGGCCAAACAGUCUGGACAUUUCCCAAGAAAAGUUCAUCCUACAGCUAAACACGAAACAGAAUAAACGCAGUGAAACUGUGGGAAUGCGAGAAAUGUCUGGUUGCACUACACAUUACUGAUUGUUUUCAAAUAUAUCACACUACAAUAACAAAUAGUAAAAAAAUAAUAAAAAAUUAAAUAAAAUAAAUAGUAAAAAAUUAAACAAAAAAAAAUAAAAAAUAAAAAAAUUAAAUAAAAAAUAAUAAAAUAAAUAGGUAAA